UACGUAGGUGGCGAGCGUUAUCCGGAUUUACUGGGUGUAAAGGGCGUGUAGGCGGGACUGCAAGUCAGAUGUGAAAAUUAUGGGCUCAACCCAUAACCUGCAUUUGAAACUGUAGUUCUUGAGUGAUGGAGAGGCAGGCGGAAUUCCGUGUGUAGCGGUGAAAUGCGUAGAUAUACGGAGGAACACCAGUGGCGAAGGCGGCCUGCUGGACAUUAACUGACGCUGAGGCGCGAAAGCGUGGGGAGCAAACAGG
rnacentral:rRNA from 1 species